rnacentral:rRNA from 1 species
GACGAACGCUGGCGGCGUGCUUAACACAUGCAAGUCGAACGGAAAGGCCCUGCUUUUGUGGGGUGCUCGAGUGGCGAACGGGUGAGUAACACGUGAGUAACCUGCCCUUGACUUUGGGAUAACUUCAGGAAACUGGGGCUAAUACCGGAUAGGAGCUCCUGCUGCAUGGUGGGGGUUGGAAAGUUUCGGCGGUUGGGGAUGGACUCGCGGCUUAUCAGCUUGUUGGUGGGGUAGUGGCUUACCAAGGCUUUGACGGGUAGCCGGCCUGAGAGGGUGACCGGCCGCAUGGGGGCGGAGAAGAGCCCGAGCAGCCUCCGGGGGGAGGCAGGGGGGAAUAUUGCACAGGGGGGGGAGGCGGGAUGCAGCAGCGCCGGGGGGGGGAGGACGGCUUCCGGGUGGUAACGGGCUUCCUCUGGGGACGAAGGGGGAGUGACGGUAUGGGGAAAAGAAGCCCCGGCUAACUACGUG